rnacentral:rRNA from 1 species
AUCCUGGGGAGAGUGCAAGAGCAAAAGCCAGCCUGAUUGGAUCCCUAACAAGACAGGAUCCAAACGCGAAAGCGUGGUCUAGCGAACACCCGAAGCUCAUUGAUAGGGCUCGGGUAUGACCGAAAAGUUACUCCGGGGAUAACAGAGUUGUCGCGCCUGAGAGUUCACAUCGACGGCGCGGCUUGCUACAUCGAUGUCGGCUCUUCCUAUCCUGGCCGUGCAGGAGCGGCCAAGGGUGGGGGUGUUCACCCAUUAAAAGGGAUCGUGAGCUGGGUUCAGUACGCUGUGAGGCAGUAUGUUUGAUAUCUACUAGGAGUGUUGGUAUCUGAGAGGAAGGACUUUCUAGUACGAGAGGAACGAAAGUUCGGCGCCUCUGGUCGACCUGUUGUCUAACAAGGCAGGCAGGGCAGCUACGCGCUACGGGAUAAAGGCUGAAAGCAUCUAAGCCUGAAACCCUCCCCGAAAAGAGAUACCUUGAGCCCUCAUAGAAGAUGAGGUUGAUAGAGUGGAUGUGUACGCAUCAAGGAAACGAGAUGUUCAGCAUGCCACCACUAAUAGCUCUUACUUUUCCUUUG